rnacentral:rRNA from 1 species
GUCUUAUUGGAAUUUAUUUUAAGUCUAAUCUGCCCAAUGAAGGUUUAAAUGGCCGCGGUAUCUUGACCGUGCAAAGGUAGCAUAAUCAUUAGUUUUUUAAUUGAAAGCUGGAAUGAAAGAUUGAAUGAGAAAGUGACUGUCUCUUAAAUAAUAAUUGAAAUUUAUUUUUAAGUAAAAAAGCUUAAAUAUUAUUAAAAGACGAGAAGACCCUAUAGAGUUUUAUUUUUAUUGAUUAUAAUAGUUUUAGAAUUUAUUAAUAUUAUAAUUAGUACAAAUUUAAUUGGGGUGAUUAAAAAAUUUAUUAAACUUUUUUUAUUUAAAUUCAAUGAUUUUUGUUUGCAUGAUCCAAAAUUUUUGAUUAUAAGAUUAAAUUACCUUAGGGAUAACAGCGUAAUUUUUUUUGAGAGUUCUUAUUGAAAAAAAAGUUUGCGACCUCGAUGUUGGAUUAAAAUUAAUUUUUGGUGCAGAAGCUAAGAAUAUUAAGUCUGUUCGACUUUUAAAAUUUUACA